GACCAUAUAAUAAUAUUCCCCAGAGAUCCAGUAAUUCUGUAAAAUCUUUAUUCUGUUGUCAAAUUAUUAGUCUAGGCUUUCAAACUGCUGGAUUCAUUUAUCUGGCUUUAUGUGAUACAAAAGUUCAGGAUAAAUGAUCCUGAUAUAGCCCUUUCUGAGCUUAAAAAAAAAGAAAAUCUGAAAAAGGGAAAAAUAACAAGUUUGGUAAAACAGAUUAGUUACUCACAUGAAAAUCAUUGUACUGUCUGUAACACUGUGUUACUCUGAAAGUCAGGUCCCUAACCCCGAACCUGAAAAAGUCACUUCAGUUUCUCUCUGCUGGCCAAGUUAACUGCAAGCAUUUCCUGACGCUGAGAAUGCAGGCAGAAAAAGGAAAAACGUCGACUUGAGAAAAGCACAGCUUCCAAUCCCCACCCACCAGCUUCAGUCAAAGGGAUGACUUCAGUCCCUUUCUUAACUAAUCCUGUCACUGUAAAAUCCUACAGUCAUUCUUCCAACAUAAAGGGAAAACGGACUCACUAGGAGGACCUAGACUCUUUCAGCUUGAACUGUUAACCAAUGGUGGAAAUGCAAGAAUGCUGAAGUUGUGCCUUCAGAGCCAAUAGAGUGGAUUUGUGUGUCCCACAUGACUGUGUUUCCCCUGUCUUUCACAUGGGCAGUAUUUAGUUCAAUUCAGAACUGCAGAUAGUAUAGCGUGCAGAGCAGCAAUGGGAUGUCUGAGCACAAGUGGCUGACUUCCAGGCGACUUCAGGAAGCACAUUUAUACAUUUCUCCUGAAUUAAACUGGGAUUCUGCACCCUUGACAUUCUCCAACCCUCCUUGUCGAUGCAGAAGGAGACAACGACCUGCACAGCACAACAAAACUACAAAUCACCACAGAGCUGCAGACCAGCAACGAAGGGAGCUGAGGGCAAUUUGACCAACAUCAUCUGUGUCGGUUCCCCAGAUGUCAAUGAAACACGUAAUCGGGUCUCCAAGACCACAAGCCUCAGAAGAUCACUGUGGAAGAAACACACUGGGCCAACCCAUCCUGUUGAUAUGACACAAAGUGCAGCCCAGUUUGGUAUUCUUUAAACUCUGAAGGAGUCUCACACCAGGAUUUGCUCUGAUGCCUCCUGAGAGGAGCAGAAAGCAGAGGGAAAGGGACCUGUACACACUGUCAGCCUGCUGUGCAAGACACGCUAAAAUGAUGCCAGCGAGGCACUUCUGCAGAGGGGGUCUCAGCUCCAGCCUGGCCGAAGCAACAGAGAAGUUGUCUGGGAGAUAUUCUGUGGCCAGUGACUUUAGGCUCCUCCCUGGUGAGAUAAACACUGAAUGGGCUGUUAUGAGAAUUCAGAUUUUGUAUUUUAGUAAUGUGUGCUAAUUAAGCACGUUAACCUAGCUGUGGAACACAUUUAACAGAAAUACAGUAGCUUGAUCAGUCUUACACUAGGCGAAUUUUGUUAUGAUUGUUUUAAAUGCCUACUGCAUUUAUCUGCAUAUUUGAAGUGUGAUGGAAAAAUUAAUUCUAUUUCUUCUUAUACAAACAAUUUACUCUGAGCAUUUUUAGGAAGGUGCCUGGAUUCUACAGAAACUGGAAAUGCCAUGAAGAUACAUACGCAAUUAUGAAUUAAUUUGUUUUCAUGUUCACCAUCAGCACUGCUUUUUCAAAGUUUAAUUUUAAUAUUACACUAUUUUAAUUCUCAGCAUGGCAAGUGUGCACAAACAUCAUCUGACUGGUGGAUGCUGGGGGUAGCUGAACUGCUUUAUAGGAACUCUGCUGGGGAGUGUUCUGCGCACAUGCAAGGCUGUGUGAUAUCGGUACUUAGACUUGACUGCAAGCAAACCAGUUUCUUAAAACAGAGAAAUUUCUAAAUUCACAGAGCAAAAGGUCUGGCAAGUGAAGAACUAAAUGACAAAUACCAUAUCAGCUAAGCACAGAAGCAUUCCAUGUAAUAGAAGAUACCCACACUUUGAGACCAGAGACCAAUUUAACUCCUUAACCAUGCAGGAUGGCUAAACAUUUGUUACAUAACAGCAACUUCACAUGGCAUUUUUACAUCCUGCCAUCUUUUCACUGAAGAACAGAAGAUUAGACUUCUACCGACUCUGAGAGACGGGGAGUGGAGCCAGCAGCAAUAUUUAGCACAGAGUGACUGAUUUCUGGCACCAUCUAGCUUCUCUACAAGAGGAAUCUGGCAGCCUGCACAGUUAAGAGUGGACCUAGCAGAAAUCUGACAAGCUGAGCUUCAAGAACACCUUCUGCAUAAGAAUUCUGCUCACAAAUGAAAAUAAGAAAGAAGUCUGGGAAACUACCAGCUCCUUGCAGAAAGACUGAAACAUGAUGGGCAGAGAAGGGUGUUGGUGUCGACAUUUGAGGAUGCAGUCAAGUCAAUGGAGUUCUGUUGUAGUGGUUGCUUCAGUGAACAUUCAACGCUGUCGGUGAGUUUGGAAUUAAAGUGAAAACCAUCGACCGUUGAUUGUACCCUCCAGCUAACCAUCCUCCUCCUUACUUCAUGCUUUCAGGCCUUAACACCGAAGAUAGCAACCUAACCAUCAUAUGAUGUUUCUCCCUCACCCUGCCAAGCUUUACAAAAAGGUCACAAUCAACAUUCAUUGCUGUCGGUGGGUUUAACUAUGUGGACAAGCUCACUGAACAAUGAAUGCAACUGUGGCCUCACAUUGUACAGUUGCCGUUGAGAGGAGUAGCAGCUCUGAAGGCAAUAGUGAGAAGCAAACACUUCUUUUAAGCUACAGUUUUCUGCUCAGAAAAAUAGUUGGGGGUGUCCAGUUUUUGCUUGUUUGGUUUUGAGUGCAUUUAACUUAGCUGACUGGAAAAGAAAACCCACUGUGUUUUUCUUGGGUAUUGUCCUCACCAGGUCCAGUGCCACUGAAAAUGUGAAAGUUCUUAUUUAGUAUGUGUGCAGAAAAAAUAACAGGACAGGACACUCAGUAUAUCCACUCCUAAGGCCUCUAACAUAAGAGAAAAGAAUAUUUAGUUGUCAUUUAACUGGGCAUUGUUGAAGAGUUCAAAAGUUUAUUCUAUACUUGUCAUGACAUAUACAGCUGGGAACAAAUGGGAUUUAAGAGUUACGGAUAAAAACGUUAUGUCAAAAAAUAUUAAUUAAUUUUACAUGAAACUGAUUUUAAGAACACAAAUACUAUUGCAUUUGCUAUUUUUGGGGAUCUGAAAGAUGGCAGAGAAAUGUAUAUCCAGAAAUAAUAAUGGAAAAGAGUUAAAUUGUAAAGUUGUUGAAUUGUAAACCGAGUACCUAUGUCACGCUCUGAGUUUUGCAAUAAGAAAAUAAAAUGUAAAUAAGCUCA